GAUUUCUUGAUAGCUCAAUUGAUUUCAAGGGCACUAAUUUUGAAUUCAUUCCAUUUGGUGCUGGAAAGAGGAUAUGCCCUGGAAUAGUUAUGGCUAUGGCUAUAAUAGAGCCUCUCCUUGCACAAUUACUGUACCAUUUUGACUGGGAACUUCCUAGUGGAGCUAAACCAGAAAGUCUCGACAUGUCUGAUACUUUUGGUCUUGUGGUCAAAAGAAAGAUAGAUCUCAUCUUGAUUCCUACACCCGUUGGUCUAUUGCAUAUGGAAAGCAAAUAGGAGAAAUGUUAGAUGGUGGUUUGUGAAGCACUCAUGUUGAUGGAA
rnacentral:misc_RNA from 1 species